GCAUGGGUUUUGGAUUUAUGGGCAGGGUCCGAUCCCAGGAGGCCUCUCACAGUGUCUCAGGGCCAAAAGCAAACUAACCCUGAACCAUUGCCUGGCUUUACCCCGUGCGCUUCAGGCAACUGAAGCGGGUUGCAUGGUG
rnacentral:snoRNA from 1 species